AGGGCACCACCAGGAGUGGAGCCUGCGGCUUAAUUUGACUCAACACGGGGAAACUUACCCGGCCUGGACACUGGAAGGAUUGACAGAUUGAGAGCUCUUUCUUGAUUCAGUGGGUGGUGGUGCAUGGCCGUUCUUAGUUGGUGGAGCGAUUUGUCUGGUUAAUUCCGAUAACGAACGAGACUCUAGCCUAUUAAAUAGGCUCUCGGCUUUUAAACGCCGGGAGGACUUCUUAGAGGGACAGGUGGCGGUUCAGCCGCACGAAAGAGAGCAAUAACAGGUCUGUGAUGCCCUUUGUUGUCCGGGGCCGCACGCGCGCUACACUGAAGAGAUCAGCGUGCUUUACGUUCCUGCUCCGACCGGAGUGGGGAACCCAGUGAACCUCCUUCGUGUUUGGGAUAAAAGAUUGUAAUUAUUCUUCUUGUACGAGGAAUUCUCCGUAUAAGCGAGUCAUAAGCUCGCGUUUAUUACAUCUCUCCGCCUUGUGCACACCCCCCCCUCUCUACUCCCCAGAUGAAAGUU
rnacentral:rRNA from 1 species